CAAUAGCGUAUAUUUAAGUUGUUGCAGUUAAAAAGCUCGUAGUUGGAUUUCGGUUAAGAGCGACCGGUCCGCCGUUUGGUGUGCACUGGUUGGUUUUAACUUCCUGUAGAGGACGUGCUCUGGGUUUAACGACCUGGACUCGGAGUCUACGUGGUUACUUUGAAAAAAUUAGAGUGUUCAAAGCGGGCUUACGCUUGAAUAUUUCAGCAUGGAAUAACACUAUAGGGCUCCUGUCCUAUUUCGUUGGUCUCGGGACGGGAGUAAUGAUUAAGAGGAACAGUUGGGGGCAUUCGUAUUUCAUUGUCAGAGGUGAAAUUCUUGGAUUUAUGAAAGACGAACUUCUGCGAAAGCAUUUGCCAAGGAUGUUUUCAUUAA
rnacentral:rRNA from 1 species